CCUACGGGAGGCAGCAGUAGGGAAUCUUCCACAAUGGACGCAAGUCUGAUGGAGCAACGCCGCGUGAGUGAAGAAGGUUUUCGGAUCGUAAAGCUCUGUUGUUGGUGAAGAAGGAUAGAGGUAGUAACUGGCCUUUAUUUGACGGUAAUCAACCAGAAAAUCACGGCUAACUACGUGCCAGCAGCCGCGGUAAU
rnacentral:rRNA from 1 species